CGCUUCCUGCCCACAACAGUAUAGGAGGUCCCGCCUGCCCUGUGACCAAAAGUUUAACGGCCGCGGUAUUUUAACCGUGCAAAGGUAGCGCAAUCAAUUGUCUUUUAAAUGGAGACCUGUAUGAAUGGCAUGACGAGGGUUUAACUGUCUCUUUUUUUUGGUCAAUGAAACUGAUCUGCCCGUGCAGAAGCGGGCAUAUCUUCACAAGACGAGAAGACCCUAUGGAGCUUUAGACGCCCACCAACUAUGAAAUGCAGCCGAGCCAACGGAGAUCCAAACAACAUAGCCCUGGCACAAACGUCUUCGGUUGGGGCGACCACGGGGGAAAACAAAGCCCCCGAGAGGACAGGGGAAUUCCCUGAAACCAAGAGUCACACCUCUAAGUCACAAAACAUUUGACCGAAUAAUGAUCCGGCUCAUGCCGAUCAACGGACCAAGUUACCCUAGGGAUAACAGCGCAAUCCCCUCCCAGAGUCCAUAUCGACGAGAGGGUUUACGACCUCGAUGUUGGAUCAGGACAUCCUAAUGGUGCAGCCGCUAUUAAGGGUUCGUUUGUUCAACGAUUAAAGUCCU
rnacentral:rRNA from 1 species